GCUUACGGCCACACCGGCCUGAGUACGCCGAUCUCGCCUGAUCUCGGAAGCUAAGCAGGGUCGGGCCUGGUUAGUACUUGGAUGGGAGACCGCCUGGGAAUACCAGGUGCUGUAAGCU
ensembl:rRNA 5S_rRNA 5S ribosomal RNA